UCAAAUGAUGAUUAUGGUCCCUCUAA
rnacentral:sRNA from 1 species